UGUAAUUGGUGAUUGGUUGAUGAUGCGAACCCAAGUAUGAAAGGCUUACUGGGUACCUUAGGAAAUGGUGAAGGGAACCGGUACAUAGGGAGAACCCUACCGUGGACAUUACCUCAGUCGAACGGGACUGAAAAGUCUCAUAUCGGAAAGGGUUAGGAGGUAUAGCUCAUCCUCUUACUGGACGGAGUAUUGAGGCAGUAGUAUGUUUUAUGCCCAUUAUCGGAUGGGUUAUAGGGACAGCCAGUCAAUUAACAAAUUGGAUAUUGGGUUCACGCGUAAAGGGGGCAUCCCUAUGGACCCCCAAGGAUAUUGGUAGGCAUGUAAGGAGGUAAGUUUACUAUUUAUUAUUCAUGUAAAUGUGUAACAUAAAUGAUAUUCG
rnacentral:lncRNA from 1 species